AAUUAUCUUCGGGGCAGGGUGAAAUUCCCGACCGGCGGUCAAAGUCCGCGAGCGCAAGCAGAUUUGGUGAAACUCCAAAACCGACAGUACAGUCUGGAUGAUAGAAGAUAUAG
rnacentral:ncRNA from 2 species